AGGAGCGGUAAUUAAAAUGGGAAUGACGCCCCGCCACUGCCACCCGGGAAGAUUUUCCACUUCUGGAGAAUAAGGGCAACGAGAAAAGGGAGAAAUUCGCCAAUUGCAGAGUGCGGACUUUGGCGUCUAAUACUGGCAGAGCCCCAAGUGAAGGUGCAUCAAUUUUGGGCGGAACCCACCCACUGUGUCCAAGCUCCCCACCAAUGCCACGACAGUGACAGUAAUUUUAACCCAGCCGGAGCGGGCGGUCCCCCCGGAGGUGGGCCAUUAAAGUUCAGGUGAGGUUAAUUACAGAGCAUUGUGAGGCCUGCCGCUGCGCACCGGGGGAGGCGGCUGGUCUGUUGACGCCUCCGAUUGACGGUUCGGACAUGACGCGACACCCCCUCGACGGAUUUUAUGCUUGAGUAGCACUGGGCAUGAGAAUAUACUGAAUGUCAUAUUUAUCUUUUUUCAUACCAAAUCUAAAUUUAUACUAAAUAACUAUAAAACAUUGAUGCCAUACCCCGCCCACAUUACAUUUGGAUUUGGGCCUGAAGACAUUUUAAAUAAGCAGACAACCCGCCCCACACACACACACACGCACACUACAAGGUUAUAGUAACGCAGGAAAGGAGCUCCGAGUAGCAACAGGAAAAGAGUGCACUCCACAUGUGUUUGAGUAAGGAUGAGAUUAUAUUGGAUUAAAGGAGGAUUUUUGCAAUGCAAAUGAAUGCACCUCCGAAUCGAUACGCCCUGUUCGACUCAAUAUACAAACUAAUUAAGAGGUAAUACAAUCAAACCUGAAUAAAAUAGAUUGCACGGCCCGCUCAGAAAGAAAUCCAAUCAAAGCUUUUUAUGUGAAUAGAUAAAAUCUAAAGCGAUCUCUCUUUGCAGGAAUAAUGACCUGGGCUUUGUGUCCAUUUAAUAAGGAAAACUUGUCUUAAGAGCCCGCGCUCAAUGUGCAUAUUCUAAUCAAUAUGAACUACAUAGGGGUUUAUCUAUGUUAUCUGCUCCAGACCGCUAAGCUAAUUAAUGUUUUAUCGAGUGUUUUAACUCAAUUGUUUCGCAAAGUCAAAGAGGUUCCGCGCUCGUUUCCGCGUGCGGUCGGAGAAGAAGCCGGACCUUAACUCCGCAGACAUUUUCUUUUGGAAAGUUUCAUUUCAACUUCUUUCCUGGACCACUGGAAUCAUACGGAUGUGGUAAAUAAGUAUUCCAGCAUUUAGUCAGGUACUUAUGACUUGAACUCGGCGUUGACAAUAUUGCUCUACAAUAAUGACCACAUUUUGCUGCUGUGGACUAAAUUGAAGUUUUCUGAAGCUUUGAUUUGAUUUGACAUUCCUUAAUUAAUCCCAUCUGAGCUGCGAUUGCUUGUGAUGUUAUUUUCGGUCGACAACAAGGGGCAAAAUGGCCGACCCCUAAAAAAAAAUGGCUGAAUUUCCACAAACACAAUAUUAAUCAGAAAGCUUUGUUUUGACUAAUAGGGGUACAUACAACAUACAACAUUGUAAAGACAAUUUUGAGGUCAAUUUCCCUUUAAAUUUGUAUUUGCUGUUCUUACUGCUAAUAAUUCCGACUUUUGGUUGAUAUGGCAAAAGUUCUAUUAUUGCACUUGUAGCAGCAACUGUAUAAUAUAUAAUAAUAGUCUAAUAAUAGUAUAGUUCUCCACCUUAUGAAGUUUGUUCCCAAGUAAAAUAGAGGCUGGUUAUUGCCAAUAAUAAUACUUUAAUGACCAGUUAUUUUCAACCGCUAAUAUGUAGAUUCGGCCAUAACUUUGCCACCACUGUUGGAGCUCCAUUUUGCUGGAGGCUGUUCCCCUCCUCCAUCCUGCUCCCGCCCACCCUCUUCUUGUGCUUCAUUCCAGCUGAUUGCUCAUUUUCUAAUGCUAAUGCUGCUACAGGCCACAGCUCGGGUUUCUCCCCUGUCAGCCGGCCACUGGGACUGUGGGACGGCUCUAAUGGGCUCUGACAGGAGGGAACUGAUCUCAUUCAAAGGGGAUUUCAUAUGUGGCAUGAAUGCGAGCACGCUCAAUGGACAUAUUAAUGCUCGUUAUCAUUCACGCAUUUUGUGGCCAUUCAUAAAGCACCCUUUUUUUUUCUCUUUCUUCCCAAGCGUCAUGACUUAAAGGUGAGCGGGCCUAUUCUUUUCGCUGCCUUUUAGAUGUCACGUCAAAAGGUGGCAGUAAAUAAUAACAUGGUGGGUGUUGUUUACAAUUCGAUUGCAUGCCGGCAGAGAAUAAGACAAAGGUCCAUCCUGGUCACAAGAGACGCCAAUGUGGGAUCAGGCAGUCAAUAUUUAGCCUCCCUCCGCGCGAUUUAUGGCUGAAGCGGCUCCCUGUGCAUUCAAAGUAUUGUCUGUCUUAAGAAAAAGUGAAGGGGCGGACAAAAAAAAAAAAAAAAAGGCGACAACAAAAAGCCAUUAAAGUUCAGGUGAGGUUAACAGCGCAGUUGUUAAACCUGUUGCUGCGCUUUUGUGCCAUAAUCACAAUGGUUUUCUGCUGGUUUUGGGACUUUAGAUUACGGCUCUCAUGUUCAUGCGACGUUUUCCAUUUUAGACUUAUGAAUAGUGUUUAGUUUGGAUUCCUCGGGCUUGGGUUUUGCUGUUUUCGGGCACUUUUACACGACAACAAGCUAGUAAAAACAGCAGUGGCGUAGCCUGAGCUGCCAGCUCCCAAUCAAAUGUUGGAUGUAUCUGAGCACUAUAUUGUAAUUGUAUGUUUCAAAGAUCAUAAAAACGAAUAUUUUCUCUCGAAUGUUUCCAAAACUAGUCACGGCCGACAUUAAAAUGAUAUAACAAGCAUGGUAAGCAUUCAUCAGAGGGUAAGGGGAUGGUUGUGGUAUAGUUGACUCCCAUGUUGCACACCACAUAAAGUACAGGGGGUCCUCACUUGACCGUAGCUAAGAAGACGUUCAGGAAGGCACGCUCACUUUACGCUGGACUUACUUUUUCUUUUGAUUAUUUUGGAUUCCUGUGCUAAAAAUACUUUUCCAUUGAAAAACGUUUUUCUGACUUUAC